rnacentral:rRNA from 1 species
CGCUGGCGGCGUGCCUAAUACAUGCAAGUCGAACGGUCUUUCUAUGGAAGCUUGCUUCCACUGAGAAGAUAGUGGCGAACGGGUGAGUAACACGUGGGUAACCUGCCCAUAAGAGGGGGAUAACAUCCGGAAACGGGUGCUAAUACCGCAUAGUUUUCUUGAUCGCAUGAUCGGGAAAGGAAAGACGGCCUUUGUGCUGUCGCUUAUGGAUGGACCCGCGGCGUAUUAGUUAGUUGGUGAGGUAACGGCUCACCAAGACGAUGAUACGUAGCCGACCUGAGAGGGUGAUCGGCCACAUUGGGACUGAGACACGGCCCAAACUCCUACGGGAGGCAGCAGUAGGGAAUCUUCCGCAAUGGACGAAAGUCUGACGGAGCAACGCCGCGUGAGUGAAGAAGGUUUUCGGGAAUCGUAAAACUCUGUUGUCAGAGAAGAACAAGUUGGAGAGUAACUGCUCCAGCCUUGACGGUAUCUGACCAGAAAGCCACGGCUAACUACGUGCCAGCAGCUGC